UACGGGGGGGCAAGCGUUGUUCGGAAUUACUGGGCGUAAAGGGCUCGUAGGCGGCCAACUAAGUCGGACGUGAAAUCCCCAGGCUCAACCUGGGAACUGCGUCCGAUACUGGAUGGCUUGAAUUCGGGAGAGGGAUGCAGAAUUCCAGGUGUAGCGGUGAAAUGCGUAGAUAUUCGGAAGAACACCAGUGGCGAAGGCGACUUACUGGACACAUAUUGACGCUGAGGUGCGAAAGCGUGGGGAGCAAACAGG
rnacentral:rRNA from 1 species